GCGUGGAGUGCGGACGGGCAGCCGGUUGGGCUGGGCCCGGAAGGGUGUGCAGUAGAGCAAGAGGAGGAAGUGGAGGGAAAGGAACCAGAUGCUUCUGAGACAGGCUACCAUCUCUGCGUGCAGUCCCCGCGGAAUUUACGCACUUUCGUCUUGUGCUCUUAGAUGUUCUCCAGAGACUUUGGGAGCCGAGGUGAAGAUGGCGCAACUACCAGAGGGAGAGCUGGAUUCUAGAGUCCCCACUUGCUUGCCUGGAAGGAGAUCUGCUCAGAACUGCCAGGAUGUCAGAACACGGCUCUGUACGAGCUCCUGAGAUCCAGGGCUGUAGUUGUGAGAAUUUGUCCUAAUGCCUCUGGUCUUUGCCUGUGCUUCAGCUUAUUUGGGGGAACAAAACCAAUCUGAUUGCUCUCAACAUCCAGUUGUCACUGAUUGGGUUCAAGGAAAUUAUUUUAUCUUCAGAAAACAUUUUGUUAUUUGAAGCAGCUAUAUAAGUGAGAUAAAUAUAUUUGAUACAUAUGUACAGAUUUAUAUAUAUAUAGCACCAAAC
rnacentral:lncRNA from 1 species